CCUACGGGCGGCUGCAGUGGGGAAUAUUGGGCAAUGGGCGCAAGCCUGACCCAGCAACGCCGCGUGAAGGAAGAAGGCUUUCGGGUUGUAAACUUCUUUUCUGAGGGACGAAUAAUGACGGUACCUCAGGAAUAAGCCCCGGCUAACUACGUGCCAGCAGCCGCGGUAAUACGUAGGUGGCAAGCGUUAUCCGGAUUUACUGGGUGUAAAGGGAGCGUAGGCGGGAAGCCAAGUCAGCUGUGAAAACUACGGGCUUAACCUGUAGACUGCAGUUGAAACUGGCUUUCUUGAGUGAAGUAGAGGUUGGCGGAAUUCCGAGUGUAGCGGUGAAAUGCGUAGAUAUUCGGAGGAACACCAGUGGCGAAGGCGGCCAACUGGGCUUUAACUGACGCUGAGGCUCGAAAGUGUGGGGAGCAAACAGGAUUAGAUACCCCAGUAGUC
rnacentral:rRNA from 1 species